CUGAAAGCCCUGGAGACUGAACUCUCUUUAUCCACAGAAUAGAAGAGACAAAGAAAGCAGCAGUGCAAGCUUCCUGUAGCCACUGCCCCAACCCUGAUGUACAGAUCAACUGCAAGGGUGAGAUGGUAAAUCAUAUUGGCACUUAUCCACCAGGAACUAUA
ensembl:misc_RNA